GGAUGCAAAAGUCGUAACACGGUUUCCGUAGGUGAACCUGCGGAAGGAUCAUUCACACAUUGCGUCUCAAAGCAGCUUUCGCGAUCACGCGGUACUGCGUCGCAAACUGCAAUUUUGGUUGCUAUUGUGGGGCAUAUUGUUGUGAUUCGUUGAGGAGUUUGCUGCGAGGAAGCGCUCAUUAUGAUCAUAUAUUCCCAAUCAUUGAAUCUUUUAUUUCCCCACAACGUAUUUUUGAAUUGAUUGAGAAGCUUAAGAAGCAACUCUCUGAAUGCAUGGGGAGGAUUUGUUCUUCUGAUAAGGAGGGUCCGACUCAAGCAUGAGGGUGGUUGAGUCGUGGCUAGCUGCUAGCUACGGGGAGUCAAGGGUUUUGGGGCUGUUUGGGGCUUUUGGGGCUGGUUUCUUGCUAGCACCGGCCCCGGCGUCUCAUUUACUUUCCCUUGUAGUUAGGGAGUCGCGUCUCUAUAGAAUUUUGUUAAAUUUAACAAAACUUUCAGCAAUGGAUGUCUUGGCUCACGCAUCGAUGAAGGACGCAGCGAAAUGCGAUACGCAUUGUGAAUUGCAGAUUUUAGUGAGCCAUCAGAUUUCUGAACGCAUAUGGCGCUGUUGGGAUUAUCUGGCAGCACGUCUGUUUCAGUGUCUUUAGACUCCUUCAUAAAGUAUACUGCCAGAACAUCGGUAGUAUGGAUGAUCACUUCGAUUGUUGUGGUGGUUUCGUGUGCGCGCCGCUGGUGAUGUACACAUAAGCGUCGCAUAAAAUUUAAUGAUUUUUUCAACAUGUAUUGUUGGCUAAGAAAAGCAAUCGGUUGCCAUUAUCCUUUCGUUCACGGAAGAGAUACGGUGGUUUUUGUACUACUGAAUUGUAUCUCGGAGACUGUGGACGGGUCAUGGGAGAGCGGUAUCGAUUGUAUGUUUCUUGGUGGCAAUAGACUAAUCCUAUAUAUAGACCUGAAAUCAGUCGAGGUUACCCGCUGAAUUUAAGCAUAUUAUUAAGCGGAGGA
rnacentral:rRNA from 1 species